rnacentral:RNase_P_RNA from 3 species
GAAGCAGGACAGGCAAUCGCUGCUUCCGCGCAUGCGCGGAAGGGGAGGAAAGUCCGGACUCCACAGGGCAGGGUGAUGGCUAACGACCAUCCGCGGUGACGCGAGGAACAGGGCCACAGAGACGAGCGUAUUCAGUUACGGUGAAACGCGGUAACCUCCACCCGGAGCAAUCCCAAGUAGGCAGGCAUUGAAGCGGCCCGCCGAGCCUGCGGGUAGGGAGCUAGAACCGGCCGGUAACGGCCGGUCCAGAUGAAUGAUUGCCACGGUACGCGGCUUGCCGCGUACUGCACAGAAUCCGGCUUAUCGACCUGCUUCGCCC